rnacentral:rRNA from 1 species
AGUGAACGCUGGCGGUAGGCCUAACACAUGCAAGUCGAACGGCAGCACAGUAAGAGCUUGCUCUUACGGGUGGCGAAUGGCGGACGGGUGAGGAAUACAUCGGAAUCUACUUUUUCGUGGGGGAUAACGUAGGGAAACUUACGCUAAUACCGCAUACGACCUACGGGUGAAAGCAGGGGAUCUUCGGACCUUGCGCGAUUGAAUGAGCCGAUGUCGGAUUAGCUAGUUGGCGGGGUAAAGGCCCACCAGGGCGACGAUCCGUAGCUGGUCUGAGAGGAUGAUCAGCCACACUGGAACUGAGACACGGUCCAGACUCCUACGGGAGGCAGCAGUGGGGAAUAUUGGACAAUGGGCGCAAGCCUGAUCCAGCCAUACCGCGUGGGUGAAGAAGGCCUUCGGGUUGUAAAGCCCUUUUGUUGGGAAAGAAAAGCAGCAGGUUAAUACCCCGCUGUUCUGACGGUACCCAAAGAAUAAGCACCGGCUAACUUCGUG